rnacentral:rRNA from 1 species
AAACCGUACUGAAAACCGACACAGGUGGUCAGGUAGAGAAUACUCAGGCGCUUGAGAGAACUCGGGUGAAGGAACUAGGCAAAAUAGCACCGUAACUUCGGGAGAAGGUGCGCCGGCGUAGAUUGUAAGGGCUAGCCCCUGAAGGUUGAACCGGUCGAAGUGACCCGCUGGCUGCAACUGUUUAUUAAAAACACAGCACUCUGCAAACACGAAAGUGGACGUAUAGGGUGUGAUGCCUGCCCGGUGCUGGAAGGUUAAUUGAUGGUGUAAUCGCAAGAGAAGCACCUGAUCGAAGCCCCAGUAAACGGCGGCCGUAACUAUAACGGUCCUAAGGUAGCGAAAUUCCUUGUCGGGUAAGUUCCGACCUGCACGAAUGGCAUAAUGAUGGCCAGGCUGUCUCCACCCGAGACUCAGUGAAAUUGAAAUCGCCGUGAAGAUGCGGUGUACCCGCGGCUAGACGGAAAGACCCCGUGAACCUUUACUAUAGCUUGACACUGAACAUUGAAUUUUGAUGUGUAGGAUAGGUGGGAGACUUAGAAGUAGUCACGCCAGUGAUUAUGGAGUCGACCUUGAAAUACCACCCUUUAACGUUUGAUGUUCUAACGAAGAUGACGAAACGUGGUCUCGGACAGUGUCUGGUGGGUAGUUUGACUGGGGCGGUCUCCUCCCAAAGCGUAACGGAGGAGCACGAAGGUUUGCUAAUCACGGUCGGACAUCGUGAGGUUAGUGCAAUGGUAUAAGCAAGCUUAACUGCGAGACAGACAAGUCGAGCAGGUACGAAAGUAGGUCAUAGUGAUCCGGUGGUUCUGAAUGGAAGGGCCAUCGCUCAACGGAUAAAAGGUACUCCGGGGAUAACAGGCUGAUACCGCCCAAGAGUUCAUAUCGACGGCGGUGUUUGGCACCUCGAUGUCGGCUCAUCACAUCCUGGGGCUGAAGUAGGUCCCAAGGGUAUGGCUGUUCGCCAUUUAAAGUGGUACGCGAGCUGGGUUUAGAACGUCGUG